UGUGGACACCAAAUUCUACUGCUAAGCGGUGGAACGACUUUUCAGUCGAGCUCCAGUAGCCAUUGCCAAUCUCCAAACGAAAAAAUUGGAAUCAGCGCUACUGCUGUAUAACUUACUGGAGCUCUCAUUGGAACACACCCAGAAUUAAAACUUGCCAAAAAUUGGCCAAAACUGCACAGAUUUUUGAAGACUGAGGACAAAGAACUCAUCUUCCUUUUUUACUUUUCGCUGCCAUCAAGACUGUACUCAGAGAAUACUAAUUAUUCAUAGAAUAAUCUAGUAACAUAAGUUGUAUUCAAAUUAUUUACUAUUUUUAUUUAAUACAUUUAUGAUACUAUAUGACUGCUAAAUAUGACAAAAAUCAAGGAAAACUUAAAUAAUUUAGUGACAUAACCAAUAACUUGACGAACUGCCCUUAAAAUGGUUUAGAUUAUUAGAUCAAUUGUAAUGAUAAUAAGGUAUUAUUUUACAUGUGUUUUUGAUAGAUAUCACGGAGGAACCAGAGAAAAGUAAAAAUGACUUGAGACCGUACUAUCUAGUAGAAUUUGUAAGCCGAGGAAAAAAACCUGUUGUAAAACAAGUAGAUGUAGUCGUGGGUACUUGGCUUUUUGUUAAUAGCAAAACUAAAACUACAGCAACAAAGUUUCCUGAAGAGCCCUACGAUCAUUUGCACUUGUAUUUGGAAAACCGUUUGCCAGUUCCAGCUUCUUGGCCAUCGUACACCAUCAAAGUAAGAGGACGAGCAGAUACAUUAGAUGAGGCAUUCACAAAACUAUCUAAAAUAAUGUAAGAUGGUGAGUCGACUCUUACAAUGUCAUCUGAAGAAAGUGCAGCAGAAGCUGAGAAAAAGGAAAUUGAUAAGAUCCAGCAAAUGCAGUUUAUUGCUGAAGCGAACCAGUUCAAAAGUACUGUAUCAGGCGUAUCAAAGGUUAAUCGAACUUCAUUAAACGCUUCUGCAGCUAAAAAAUCAAAUAAAAAAAUGCUGUCACUAUCUAACGCAACUAAUCAAGAUAAUCUAAAACCAUUAAAAUCCUCAAGUGAUUCCACUAAUGUCAGUCUUUUGAAGAAUUCACAAUCUGGCAGCAAUGAUGAACUAUUACCAGGUACUUCCAGUGAGGAGGAACAAAUAUUAGAAGAAAAUUCUAAAGCGUAUCCUGAACAACAAACAACAUCAGCCACAAGUCAAGAUCAGUUUACGCCUGACUAUUCUGAUGAUAUCUAUUCUUAACUGAGUUUCACACACGAGAAAACUGUACCUGCAAAAACUUACAAGCAAGCAAGGAUAAACCAACCUCCAAUUAAUGGUAAAGAAGGUACAACUCAGACCAGCUCAAGUAUUAAAUCAACGGGCAGUAAUGAAAAUAUCAACAAGUCUAUUGAUGCUUUGAAAGCUAUAUGUACUAAGCAACAGAAAAGAAAAUCAUUAGCAGAUUUGACGAAUACUUAAAGAAACCCAAAUGUGAUACGCAAACAAAUUAUGAUUUUCAGGAUGUUGUUAUUGAUUAUCUGAUGUAUUUAGCGGAUUCUGUAGAUGAAAUACAUGCACAACAAAAAAAUAACACUGACGAAAUAGCAAGCAUUAAAACAUUACUUUUAAAGCAAAGUAUAAAUGAAAAUGUGAUAGCUAACCAAAAACAGCUUGCUGAUAAGUAUUCUUGCGUUUUACCAUUUUCAACGGUUCAGAGUUUUCAAGAAUUUGAUGAAAAACUUCAGGAUAACAAAUCAAGUUUACGCUCAGAUGUUAAAAACAUGCUUUUGUCUGGUCUUGAUUCCAACCUUGUAAUAUCAAAGUGCAUGGUAAAUAUGCUAAAAAUGGUCUUGUCAAGAGAAGUUGCGAUGCAAUAUACAGCAGUAAAAGAAGUCAAGGAUAAAAAUGUUAUGAUGAAUACCAAUUUUUAUUCUUGUAUAUCAGAAAUUAUAAACGAGCGUCGCAUGGCAUCAAAUCUUUGAGUAACAGACAAAGAUUUCAAAACAGGUUUAAGCAAUGUUUUGACAAAUGCCUCUGGUUUGAAAUCAUCCUCAGAGAAUCGAAAAAGAUUACGUAAAUCUCCUCGUAAAUCUCGCAAACCAAAAAAUAAUACAAAAAAGAAAACGUUGUCAGACGAUGAAGAUAAUGCCUUGUACGAUGAUUUGUCUGCUGAUGAGCCUGCAAGUCAAGAGGAAAAUGUUCUCAAUUCUUCCAACUCAAAUGCGAUUGAUUUAGAUCCACGAAAUUAUGGAGCACCGCCAGGGAUAGAUACCCUGGUAGAAAUUCGAAUAUUUAAAAUGGGCUGUAAACUAUGAAAUGGCUAUGAGAAAUAGCCAAGCCAUAGCUUGUGAUGAAACGCUUUUUCUCCCAUUUCUUGAGCAUUUGUUGGAAUGAACAUAACCUUAAAUCUUUAGUAUUGAUAUUAUUCCUUGUAUCGUACACUAAUUUCAAAGAGGCUUACGGAUUUUAAUCGAUUUCCAAACGGUUUACACAAUUAACAGUCAAUUAGAGUUAUACAAGCACGACAUACGAAGAUAUUCGUGAUUUUCUUAUUUUUUCACUUUUUUGACCCGACUUAUUUUGCGUAGUACUUAUUCGUAGCCAUCAACUAGCUAUCACCAGUGCUUUGCUUUAGACAAUGAAAUCUAUUUUUACAAGCUUGAAAAUUCCUUGUAAUACGGUAUGACUCUAUUCUUACUCCAAUAAAUGCAUAAAAACUGUCCCAAAAAGCGUUUCAUCGCUGGACGAAAAAGUAGUAAUACGUGGUAUGUUGUAGCUUUAAACUUAUAUCGAUUUCUACCAGGGUAUGAGAUGUAAACUACUUUAUUUUUAGUUCGUCGUUCAUUGUAAUGCAUGUUAAUUAUGUAAAGUAUUCUAUUUUUAGUUCAUCGUUUAUUUUACGUUAUUUUCGAUUUCAUUAUUUACUUGCUUAAAAAUGACGAAACUUAUAAUGUAACUUUUUUAAAUUAUUAUAAAAGUGUAAAAA